rnacentral:ribozyme from 1 species
GUCCCUCGUGGAAAGUCACCUUCUCGGUGGUGAGGGACGUCAGUAAGUUGGACUGCAUGGUCUAGCUGAAGCUAAGAACUUUU